UAUCUAUAUUUUUUUUUGUGUCCUUAUUUAAAUCCCCAUUCUUGAUUCCAGACUAACUCUCAUAUAUAUACGUAAAUGUACGAAAGCUUGGCACGUCGAAUACGGAAACCCGGAAAUCUUUUCACCGUUGUCGUUUUUAUACUAUAACGCAAAAUCCAUGGACGCUCGUCUGCUGCUGAAUUCAUGUUUUAAAAGAAUGGACAAAGAUAGUCAGAUAGUUGAUACAAAGACCUUUGAUUUUUCAAACUGAUGGAUCAAAAAGUUAUUAUAAACAGAUAUAUUGAAAUGGCCGACUCAAAAUCAUGCUGUUAAUUAGGGCCCCCUGUUGUACAUGUACUUAGGAAUCGGACACCUACAGAAGAUGAAAGAUCUACUUUACAUCUUUUUCAACGAAAGUACAAUUACUUUGAGAAGUAGGAGAAGCUAAGCAACAGGACAGAAUUCAUUUGAGGCAUUGCUUUCUAGAUUAUAUAGUGGAGUCAUAGAUUGUCCUAUUGAUUUAUGUGGAUAUGAGGAGCAGUAGUCAAUGAAUAAUUUUGUGAUGAGAGCUGUACAUUGUAUUACAACAAAUGGACAGAGGAGUUGACUAUUGAUAGUGACUGAUAAUGAACUGGAGUAACCUAGGGUCCAAUGACUCCAUGCCUGACAGUCCAUGUGUACAUGUACAUAAUUAGCUCCUCAGAUGUAAGUGGAAGAGAAUCUAUAUACAUUAUAUGUUUAAAUGAAAUUAACAACAGGAUUAGAUAUUUAGGAGACCCUAUAGCUACAGUACAUAUAAAUGUAACUGCAACUGUAUUCCAAGAGUCUGAUGGCUGAUAAUGUAUUACAGGAUUUUAUCAUUCAAGCAACAUCUUAGAAGGAUAAGUGCAAAUGUAUGAAGGAAGCCUUGGGUACAAAUAGCAAUUACAGCAAUUACAUGCAGGAGAGAACUCUUAACAUUACUAACAGACAUGUAGUCAUUAUAUGGGAGUGGUGUAUUCAAGAAAUCUAAAACACAUGGAAUUAAAUAUCGUGUAUAUUUUUUCAACCACAAGUACUCUCAGAAUAUAAUACAAUUCAAAUUCAAAUUAUUGUGCCAACAUGACAAUUACAGUCUAAAAAUGGAAAAUGCAUGUUUUAAACUGAUUUUUAUAUAAAUAUUUGAAAUAACAAGAA